rnacentral:rRNA from 1 species
GAUGAACGCUGGCGGCGUGCUUAACACAUGCAAGUCGAACGGAAAGGCCAGUGCUUGCACUGGUGCUCGAGUGGCGAACGGGUGAGUAACACGUGGGUGAUCUGCCCUGCACUUUGGGAUAAGCCUGGGAAACUGGGUCUAAUACCAGAUAGGACCAUGCUUUGGAUGGUGUGGUGGAAAGUUUUUUCGGUGUGGGAUGAGCUUGCGGCCUAUCAGCUUGUUGGUGGGGUAAUGGCCUACCAAGGCGUCGACGGGUAGCCGGCCUGAGAGGGUGUACGGCCACAUUGGGACUGAGAUACGGCCCAGACUCCUACGGGAGGCAGCAGUGGGGAAUAUUGCACAAGGGGCGCAAGCCUGAUGCAGCGACGCCGCGUGGGGGAUGACGGCCUUCGGGUUGUAAACUCCUUUCGCAACUGACGAAGCUUUUUGUGACGGUAGGUUGAGAAGAAGCACCGGCUAACUACGUG